CCUACGGGUGGCAGCAGUGGGGAAUAUUGGACAAUGGGCGAAAGCCUGAUCCAGCCAUGCCGCGUGUGUGAAGAAGGCCUUCGGGUUGUAAAGCACUUUCAGUGGGGAAGAAAGCCUUGGGGCUAAUACCCUCGAGGAAGGACAUCACCCACAGAAGAAGCACCGGCUAACUCCGUGCCAGCAGCCGCGGUAAUACGGAGGGUGCGAGCGUUAAUCGGAAUUACUGGGCGUAAAGCGCGCGUAGGCGGUCUGAUAAGCCGGUUGUGAAAGCCCCGGGCGCAACCUGGGAACGGCAUCCGGAACGGUCAGGCUAGAGUGCAGGAGAGGAAGGUAGAAUUCCCGGUGUAGCGGUGAAAUGCGUAGAGAUCGGGAGGAAUACCAGUGGCGAAGGCGGCCUUCUGGACUGACACUGACGCUGAGGUGCGAAAGCGUGGGUAGCAAACAGGAUUAGAUACCCUGGUAGUC
rnacentral:rRNA from 1 species